GCGCAUCUGGUGUAGUGGUAUCAUAGUACCCUUCUACAGUACUGACCAGGGUUCGAUUUCCUAGAUGCGCA
rnacentral:tRNA from 1 species